GGACUACAGGGGUUUCUAAUCCUGUUUGCUCCCCACGCUUUCGCGCUCCAGCGUCAGUAACGGGCCAAAAGGCCGCCUUCGCAACCGGUAUUCCUCUCGAGAUCUACGCAUUUUACCGCUACUCCGAGAAUUCUACCUUUCUCUCCCGCACUCUAGCUUGCCAGUUUUCAUCGCAUGUGCCCGGUUAAGCCGGGCGAUUUAACAACAAACUUAACAAACCGCCUCCACGCUCUUUACACCCAGUCAUUCCGAAUAACGCUCGCACCCUUCGUAUUACCGCGGCUGCUGGCAC
rnacentral:rRNA from 1 species